rnacentral:rRNA from 1 species
UGGGGAAUUUUGGACAAUGGGCGCAAGCCUGAUCCAGCAAUGCCGCGUGAGUGAAGAAGGCCUUCGGGUUGUAAAGCUCUUUUGUCAGGGAAGAAACGGUGGGGGCUAAUAUCCUCUGCUAAUGACGGUACCUGAAGAAUAAGCACCGGCUAACUACGUGCCAGCAGCCGCGGUAAUACGUAGGGUGCAAGCGUUAAUCGGAAUUACUGGGCGUAAAGCGUGCGCAGGCGGUUUUGUAAGUUUGUCGUGAAAUCCCCGGGCUCAACCUGGGAAUUGCGAUGAAGACUGCAAGGCUAGAAUCUGGCAGAGGGGGGUAGAAUUCCACGUGUAGCAGUGAAAUGCGUAGAGAUGUGGAGGAACACCGAUGGCGAAGGCAGCCCCCUGGGUCAAGAUUGACGCUCAUGCACGAAAGCGUGGGGAGCAAACAGGAUUAGAUACCCCCGUAGUCC